UGGACUCCACGUCACUUCCAUUCACUGUGGUGUGUGGAGCGUGGAGGAGACGCGUGUCGCUAAAUACAUUCUUUUCCAAGGACACGGGCUUAUGACUUUUCUAUAGGCAUCAGUUGUCUUUUGGAAUGCUUUUAAACAGAUGUAAUGCCAUCUUUUUAAUGAUUAACCUACACUAAAGCAAGACUGCUGAAGGCAGACUCUUCUACACCAGUUGAAAUAGCUUUUUUUGUAUAAAAAGAUAAUCUGAAUAUGAGACGUAAUGUGCUAUUGGAUGGGAAAACCAGAUGUUGUAAUGAAGUCACUUCUCCCUAAAUACAACCUGAACAGGAUUUUAUUUGGAAUUUUACAAAACGAGACUAAAGAAUACAUUUUGGUGAAAUAAAUUAUCAGCAAUAUAAAAUGAUCUAACAAGAAAACUGAAAGGAGGAACUAGCCUUACCUGACGUAUAAAGUCAUAUAAGGAAACAAAAGUCAAGAGUAGGUCCUGGGAGGAGGGGCUAGAACUGGGUGUUAGUGUUUUAUGGGGCAGUUUCCAUGUGGGAUGAUGAAAAAGUUCUGGAGACAGAUUGUGGUGAUGGUUUGCAAAACAAUGUGAUUGUACUUAAUGCCUCUAAAUGGUAUGCUGAAAAAUUACUAAAAUUGUAAGUUUUAUGUUAUGUAUAUCUUACCACAAUAAUUUUUAAAAGUAGAUACCUGGACAAGAACAGAGUAGAUAGCAAUGGAUGGAACCUGUUCUAUAUGAGCAUGUAUUUUGAAAAAGGGAAAAUUUAACCAGUAAGUGUUUGAAAGGUUGGAUAGCUGACUGUCAGUCUAGAAAAACAAAAUUAGACCACUCUCAAAAUACAUGAACAUAAAUCUGAUGGCUUAAAUAAUAUUUUUAAAAUAUUCUUAAAUUUAGAGUAAAAUGGAAUUUUAUUUUAGAAAAAUAAAAUGGAAUUAAAUAUUUAUCAAAUAUUCAAGCCAAGGAUAAAUCACAGAAGAAAAUUAUAGCAUAUUUUAUUGCAUGAAGUUAGAAACUUGAAAGUGAAACAAAGCAAAAUACUACCUUAAGAAAAUGUGUAUUCGAUAUCACAGAGUUAAUAUUAUUCAGUGAAGACUACACAUAAAUAAAUAAGGAACACAUUAGAUUUUAGUAUGUAAAUAGACAAAAUACAUGAAGAGACAAUUUUUUUUUUUUUUUUUUUUUUUUUGAGACGGAGUUUUACUCUGUCACCCAGGCUGGAGUGUAGUGGUGCCAUCUCGGCUCACUGCAACCUCCACCUCCCCAGUUCAAGCGAUUCUCCUGCCUCAGCCACCCGAGUAGCUGGGACUACAGGUGUGCGCCACCACGCCCAGCUAAUUUUUUGUAUUUUUAGUAGAGACGGGGUUUCACCCUGUUAGCCAGCAUGGUCUUGAUCUCCUGACCUUGUAUCCGCCCGCCUUGGCCUCCCAAAGUGCUGGGAUUACAAGCAUGAG
rnacentral:lncRNA from 1 species